AUUGAACGCUGGCGGCAGGCUUAACACAUGCAAGUCGAGCGGAGAGAGGUAGCUUGCUACUGAUCUUAGCGGCGGACGGGUGAGUAAUGCUUAGGAAUCUGCCUAUUAGUGGGGGACAACAUUUCGAAAGGAAUGCUAAUACCGCAUACGUCCUACGGGAGAAAGCAGGGGAUCUUCGGACCUCGCGCUAAUAGAUGAGCCUAAGUCGGAUUAGCUAGUUGGUGGGGUAAAGGCCUACCAAGGCGACGAUCUGUAGCGGGUCUGAGAGGAUGAUCCGCCACACUGGGACUGAGACACGGCCCAGACUCCUACGGGAGGCAGCAGUGGGGAAUAUUGGACAAUGGGCGCAAGCCUGAUCCAGCCAUGCCGCGUGUGUGAAGAAGGCCUUAUGGUUGUAAAGCACUUUAAGCGAGGAGGAGGCUACUUUAGUUAAUACCUAGAGAUAGUGGACGUUACUCGCAGAAUAAGCACCGGCUAACUCUGUGCCAGCCGCCGCCGUAAAAC
rnacentral:rRNA from 1 species